GCCAUAUUAUGUUGAAAUGCCGGUUCUCGUCCGAUAACCGAAGUUAAGCUACGUUGAGCCUGGUCAGUACUUAGAUGGAUGACUGCUGGGGAACACCAGAUGCUGUAAU